rnacentral:rRNA from 1 species
ACCUUUUGUAUAAUGGGUCAGCGACUUAUAUUCUGUAGCAAGGUUAACCGAAUAGGGGAGCCGAAGGGAAACCGAGUCUUAACUGGGCGUUAAGUUGCAGGGUAUAGACCCGAAACCCGGUGAUCUAGCCAUGGGCAGGUUGAAGGUUGGGUAACACUAACUGGAGGACCGAACCGACUAAUGUUGAAAAAUUAGCGGAUGACUUGUGGCUGGGGGUGAAAGGCCAAUCAAACCGGGAGAUAGCUGGUUCUCCCCGAAAGCUAUUUAGGUAGCGCCUCGUGAAUUCAUCUCCGGGGGUAGAGCACUGUUUCGGCAAGGGGGUCAUCCCGACUUACCAACCCGAUGCAAACUGCGAAUACCGGAGAAUGUUAUCACGGGAGACACACGGCGGGUGCUAACGUCCGUCGUGAAGAGGGAAACAACCCAGACCGCCAGCUAAGGUCCCAAAGUCAUGGUUAAGUGGGAAACGAUGUGGGAAGGCCCAGACAGCCAGGAUGUUGGCUUAGAAGCAGCCAUCAUUUAAAGAAAGCGUAAUAGCUCACUGGUCGAGUCGGCCUGCGCGGAAGAUGUAACGGGGCUAAACCAUGCACCGAAGCUGCGGCAGCGACGCUUAUGCGUUGUUGGGUAGGGGAGCGUUCUGUAAGCCUGUGAAGGUGUACUGUGAGGUAUGCUGGAGGUAUCAGAAGUGCGAAUGCUGACAUAAGUAACGAUAAAGCGGGUGAAAAGCCCGCUCGCCGGAAGACCAAGGGUUCCUGUCCAACGUUAAUCGGGGCAGGGUGAGUCGACCCCUAAGGCGAGGCCGAAAGGCGUAGUCGAUGGGAAACAGGUUAAUAUUCCUGUACUUGGUGUUACUGCGAAGGGGGGACGGAGAAGGCUAUGUUGGCCGGGCGACGGUUGUCCCGGUUUAAGCGUGUAGGCUGGUUUUCCAGGCAAAUCCGGAAAAUCAAGGCCGAGGCGUGAUGACGAGGCACUACGGUGCUGAAGCAACAAAUGCCCUGCUUCCAGGAAAAGCCUCUAAGCAUCAGGUAACAUCAAAUCGUACCCCAAACCGACACAGGUGGUCAGGUAGAGAAUACCAAGGCGCUUGAGAGAACUCGGGUGAAGGAACUAGGCAAAAUGGUGCCGUAACUUCGGGAGAAGGCACGCUGAUACGUAGGUGAAGCGACUUGCUCGUGGAGCUGAAAUCAGUCGAAGAUACCAGCUGGCUGCAACUGUUUAUUAAAAACACAGCACUGUGCAAACACGAAAGUGGACGUAUACGGUGUGACGCCUGCCCGGUGCCGGAAGGUUAAUUGAUGGGGUUAGCGCAAGCGAAGCUCUUGAUCGAAGCCCCGGUAAACGGCGGCCGUAACUAUAACGGUCCUAAGGUAGCGAAAUUCCUUGUCGGGUAAGUUCCGACCUGCACGAAUGGCGUAAUGAUGGCCAGGCUGUCUCCACCCGAGACUCAGUGAAAUUGAACUCGCUGUGAAGAUGCAGUGUACCCGCGGCAAGACGGAAAGACCCCGUGAACCUUUACUAUAGCUUGACACUGAACAUUGAGCCUUGAUGUGUAGGAUAGGUGGGAGGCUUUGAAGUGUGGACGCCAGUCUGCAUGGAGCCGACCUUGAAAUACCACCCUUUAAUGUUUGAUGUUCUAACGUGGACCCGUAAUCCGGGUUGCGGACAGUGUCUGGUGGGUAGUUUGACUGGG